AUGUCAAACAACUGCCGAAACGGCCGCUUGCGGUCGUUCGAAAGGCUGUCUUAUGGUGUGUACUCCGGUAAAAUGGCCGCCAAAUCUUCAUAUGAACUCGAAAUCCAAUAUCGGGGUGAUAUGGCCGAGGGAAACAAUUGUAACUUAGUGGAAAACCGGCUAAAUCCACGAUGUGGGACUAAAAGUUCCCGGGUACAUCUUACCAGUAGUAGCCGACCAACAUCUGCUCCCGCCCCACCGAGAGUCCUGCUUCCGGCCGUCGUCCCAACACUUGUCUCCAGUGUGGGGAUGACGGCGAUGCGCCGAUGCAAGCCCUAUGCUCCUCCUCCUCCCAUGCUGGCCGCCAACAGUCGCCUCGUCCCCUGCUCACCGACUUGGACUCGAAGUGAUUCUACACUCACAGAGUGGCGCAAUGAGACUGAAAGGCAGGAGAAAGGAAGGAAUGCAGGCUUCACACACCUCACCUCGGCAGUGUACUCACCGAGUCCCCGCUUCCAAGCCCAUCUGUCUCCCCUAUGUGGACCAGGCCCACAAAGUACGGGCCAGUCCCUCGCCCGGACGACACAGGGUUACACGUCAAGUGCGGCCCGCUCCGCGUACCCAUCGCGCUCCCGUACGAGACUGACACGGCCGGGGAACGCUCCCAGAUCGCCGCCGCGUAGCCUUCCGCCACCGGGUUCGACGAGGGAGCCAGGGCACGCAAGGCGGCCUAUAGCCUAUAGGGAGAGUAGGUCGUGGAUUUUUGGGGAUGCGGCCCAGAGGCGCGGCAACGUCGUGGGUUGUGGGGCGGACGCGCAUCUCUACGACGACCUGGACGCCGCCGCCAUCCCGGCGCUCCUCGGCUCCUGCUUCGACGGCGAUAACGUCGAUGCUCAAGCCUGUACCAGCUCCACUACGCCGCGAAACAAUCAGAGUCACCUUGUAGCUUCAUAUCGUGUAGCAUCAACUCGUGGAGACGCCUUUCAUGAUUAUGAAUAUGGUGAGGGUUGGCAGCACAAACGAACUCCUCCAUGCUCUAAAGAUAUUGUAGGGUUUCAUAUGUACAAAAAGGACACCAUCGGUACUCUGCAAAAACGGCCACCGCCCUUGGUAAUCUUGUCUCCAGCUCGCUCCCUGUUAUUUGCAUGCUCAGACGACCACCACCAGGGUUGUCUGUAUAAUGCAGCCAGGGAAACUAACAUGCGCGGACAAUUUGCCAUGGUUCUUCCAUCCCACACUUAUCUUCUCAAGGAAACACACAUCAGUAUUCUUCAUAUGGUGGUGGAUACUAGAGUGGUAGUACAACAAAAAGGAUUGAUAUCCCAAAUGGAAGGUUGGUGUUAUCAUUGGAAAUGCUGGAGAAACUAUAAAGCAUAUCCAACUUUAGUCAGGGGCAAAGAUAAGCUGAUGCUGGCUCAUUUGGCACUAUCUCUAGUUGUGUUGAGCAAUUCUAGAUGCAAAUUGCUAACAACAAGUUCAUUGUGA
rnacentral:rRNA from 1 species